CAGUAACUUAUUAGUUUAAUAAAACAUUAAAUUGCAAAUUUAACUAUUAAAUC
rnacentral:tRNA from 1 species